CUCUCAGAAUCAUUUUUAUUAGAUGGUAUCCCAGAUUUUGUGUUGAAUAUCUUGCAAGAAUUUAAUAUGCUCCCCUUGAUAUUUUUGAAUAACAUACAAUAUUUGACGAAGCUAUGUUAUUUGUAAAUUGAUUAGACUAAUUGAAUAAUGCAAAGAUUGGUAUGACUAGGAGCAACAUGUAGUCUAAACAUUAACCUUCAGGUGAUAAUACUGGUGCAAGCUUUGUUUACAAAUCAUCUGUGCAUGCCAUAGUUCUUCAGAAAAGCUCAUACCAUUAAUGAAUGAAUCAAUGUAGCUCUUCUGACAGAGAGCCAUGCCAUCCUCAUUUUUGCUCCAUAUGUCUUGGCAAUUCGUCAUGGCUCAUGCCUGUGAUUUAAUAGAAUUCGGCAGAUUAGGGAGGAAGAUCAGCAUUGAAGGAACCAUACAAGAUCGUCAGUGAGCUGUUGUUACAUAAUUGACUACAUGACCCAAACAGAAUCUAGUUUUGCUUGGCUAAUUUAAGACAUGUCAUCUCUUUCUUCUUUGACAAUAUUCCUUUCAUACUCAUUAGUAUUUUCAGGAACAGUCAUGCCUCUGGGUGACUAAAAGCACUUUAUCUAUUGAGUUAACUGCCCCCUGCCUACAACAAACCUCAUACCCGCCAGCUCCUGCACAUGCACACAGUGUCACAACCCGAAGGUGGAUGACAGGGGAUCAAUGGCGAUCUCUGAUAGAACGAGAGAGAGAUGAGAGAAAGCAAGCAGGAGGUGGGCAACGAGAGAGAGGAUGAGAGAUAGCAACACGCUUCUAUUUCUUCGAUGCCUUGUUCAGAAUCUUACAGGGGUUUAUAUAGCACCCCGAACCGCACACACACCGGCCACGCUCCUGCCUACUCUUGUCACAACUGUACCCAGGUUCAGUUAACCACAGUUACAGGCGUGACAUUCGCCGCUCCUUGAGACGAAGCUCCUUCCCAGAUCAGUGCUGAAGGGAUAACGUUUGCAUAGUACCUCAUAAUCCUCCCACGUUGCCUCCUCUGGUGGCCGAGACGACCACUGAAUCUUGAGUUGCACCACAUACCCUUGACCUUGUUUGCGCAUGCGUCGUUCCAGGACUUGUAUAGGUUGUAAGUCCUGUGCUGCUAAAUCUGGUGGUCGCGGCAAAUCCAUGAACACCGGAGAAUAGUUCGGUGUGAAUGGCUUCAGUUGGGACACGUGAAAGACCGGAUGAAUUCGAGCAUCCUCUGGCAAGGUUAAUUUGUAGGCCAACUCACCAAUGCGCUGCUCGACUGGAAAUGGACCAAAGAACUUGUAGGCCAAUUUCCGACACGGCCGAUUUGUCACUGACGUCUGAGCGUACGGUUGUAGCUUGAGCAAAACCUGUUCCCCCACCUCAAAGGAGCGCUCUGUCCGAUUCCUAUCCGCAUAUUUCUUGAACCGAAGCUGAGCUCGAAGCAUUUGAGCACGAAGGCGAUCAGUAUGAUCCACCCAGUUUAUGUCCGGUGUGUCUGUCGAUUGCGCCCCCCCAAUCCAACAUCGCUCCCAGAUUUGGUUCCCGGCCAUACAGAGCUUUGAAAGGGGAACAAUUCAGGGCAGAAUGAUGGCUAGAAUUAUACCAGAACUCAGCCGCCGGCAACCAACGUCGCCAUUGACGUGGAGCAUCAUGCACAGCAGUGCGCAAAUACAUUUCCAGGCACUGAUUGACCCUUUCCGUCUGGCCGUCAGUCUGCGGAUGGUAUGCUGUAGAAUAAAGCAACUUGGUGCCAGCCGUUGAUAACAUCACACGCCACACAGAGCUGGUGAAGAUUUUAUCUCGAUCCGAGACAAUCGUCAGUGGCACUCCAUGCAGUUUGAUAACAUUGUCCCACAAAGCCUGAGCGACCUGAGCUGCGGUAAAAGGGUGCUUCAGAGGCACAAAGUGUGCAAACUUUGUGAGUCGAUCGACCACGACCAUAAUCACCUCAAACCCCUCAGAUUUCGGCAGCCCCUCGAUGAAAUCCAUCGAAAUAUCCUGCCAUGGCAACAAUGGCACUGGUAAGGGCUGUAAUUUUCCUGCUGAUUUGAUAUUCUCAUGUUUGGCAUGUUGACAGACUUCACAUUGUCGCACAAAUUCCUCCACUGCUGCUUUCUGCCCAGUCCAGGCGAACAGUUUCUUGACCCUCUGAUAAGUAGCGGCAAUUCCCGAAUGAUCACCCACUGCACCGUGGUGUAAGGCGCUGAUCAAUUUAGUUUGCAGAGCUGUGUUGGAGCCAAUCCAUAUUCGAUUAUGCAAACGAAUAAUGCCACGGCUGAGAGAGAACCCUUCCUCGCUUGGUGAACAGACAGACAAUUGGGCCAGUAAAGUCUGAGCAUGAUCAUCAGUUUCGUAGGAGUUUGUUACCUCCACUAACCAUUGUGGCUGACAGACGGAUAGCGCAUUUGCGGUUAACAAGUGUCCCACACGUGAUAAUGCAUCCGCUGCUCCAUUCUCCACUCCCCUUUUAUACUGAAACUGUAGACCAACCAGUUUCGACAUAGCCUUACGCUGCAGGUCUGUGUCCAGCUGUUGAUCUCCCAAAUUACACAAGCUUUUGUGGUCCGUGAGAGUAACAAAUGGGCCUCGCUGGCUUUGCUGGAAUAAGCUACUGGAUGUCCUUCCUGAACAAGCACUGCACCAAUACCUGUAUCACAGGCGUCUGUUUCAAUAGCAAAAGGUCGAUCGAAAUUUGGCAAUUGCCAGCACAGGUGUGUUGACCAUAGCUUCCUUCAGCUCCUCAAAUGCUGCUUGUGCUUGAUCACUCCAUUUAAACCCUUUCUUGGUCAGUAACUGUGUCAAGGGCUUGGCAAUGAUUCCAUAGCGUGAGACAAAUUUACGGUAAUACCCUGUUAGCCCCAAGAA